rnacentral:rRNA from 1 species
GACGAACGCUGGCGGCGUGCCUAAUACAUGCAAGUAGAACGCUGAAGCGAGGAGCUUGCUCUUCUUGGAUGAGUUGCGAACGGGUGAGUAACGCGUAGGUAACCUGCCUUGUAGCGGGGGAUAACUAUUGGAAACGAUAGCUAAUACCGCAUAACAAUGGAUGACACAUGUCAUUUAUUUGAAAGGGGCAAUUGCUCCACUACAAGAUGGACCUGCGUUGUAUUAGCUAGUAGGUGAGGUAAUGGCUCACCUAGGCGACGAUACAUAGCCGACCUGAGAGGGUGCUCGGCCACACUGGGACUGGGACACGGCCCAGACUCCUACGGGAGGCAGCAGUAGGGAAUCUUCGGCAAUGGGGGCAACCCUGACCGAGCAACGCCGCGUGAGUGAAGAAGGUUUUCGGAUCGUGAAGCUCUGUUGUAAGUCAAGAACGGGUGUGAGAGUGGAAAGUUCACACUGUGACGGUAGCUUACCAGAAAGGGACGGCUAACUACGUG